CGAACGCUGGCGGCGUGCUUAACACAUGCACGUCGAACGGAAAGGCCCUGCUUUUGUGGGGUGCUCGAGUGGCGAACGGGUGAGUAACACGUGAGUAACCUGCCCUUGACUUUGGGAUAACUUCAGGAAACUGGGGCUAAUACCGGAUAGGAGCUCCUGCUGCAUGGUGGGGGUUGGAAAGUUUCGGCGGUUGGGGAUGGACUCGCGGCUUAUCAGCUUGUUGGUGGGGUAGUGGCUUACCAAGGCUUUGACGGGUAGCCGGCCUGAGAGGGUGACCGGCCACAUUGGGACUGAGAUACGGCCCAGACUCCUACGGGAGGCAGCAGUGGGGAAUAUUGCACAAUGGGCGGAAGCCUGAUGCAGCAGCGCCGCGUGCGGGAUGACGGCCUUCGGGUUGUAAACCGCUUUCGCCUGUGACGAAGCGUGAGUGACGGUAAUGGGUAAAGAAGCACCGGCUAACUACGUG
rnacentral:rRNA from 1 species